GACGAACGCUGGCGGCGUGCUUAACACAUGCAAGUCGAACGGAAAGGCCCUGCUUUUGUGGGGUGCUCGAGUGGCGAACGGGUGAGUAACACGUGAGUAACCUGCCCUUGACUUUGGGAUAACUUCAGGAAACUGGGGCUAAUACCGGAUAGGAGCUCCUGCUGCAUGGUGGGGGUUGGAAAGUUUCGGCGGUUGGGGAUGGACUCGCGGCUUAUCAGCUUGUUGGUGGGGUAGUGGCUUACCAAGGCUUUGACGGGUAGCCGGCCUGAGAGGGUGACCGGCCACAUUGGGACUGCGAUACGGCCCAGACUCCUACGGGAGGCAGCAGUGGGGAAUAUUGCCCAAUGGGCGGAAGCCUGAUGCAGCGACGCCGCGUGCGGGAUGACGGCCUUCGGGUUGUAAACCGCUUUCGCCUGUGACGAAGCGUGAGUGACGGUAAUGGGUAAAGAAGCACCGGCUAACUACGUG
rnacentral:rRNA from 1 species